GCCUCACUGUGACCCAGGUCUGUAGGUUUCUAAAGCCUCACUGUGACCCAGGUCUGUAGGUUUCUAAAGCCUCACUGUGACCCAGGUCUGUAGGUUUCUAAAGCCUCACUGUGACCCAGGUCUGUAGGCUUCUAAAGCCUCACUGUGACCCAGGUCUGUAGGUUUCUAAAGCCUCACUGUGACCCAGGUCUGUAGGUUU